rnacentral:rRNA from 1 species
CAAUGGCGUAUAUUAAAGUUGUUGCGGUUAAAAAGCUCGUAGUUGGAUUUCUGCCGAGGACGUCCGGUCCACCCUCUGGGUGUGUACAUGGCACGGCCUGGGCAUCUUCUUGGGGUACGUAUCUGCACUUGACUGUGUGGUGCGGAAUCCAGGACUUUUACUUUGAGGAAAUUAGAGUGUUUCAAGCAGGCACGCGCCUUGAAUACAUUAGCAUGGAAUAAUAAGAUAGGACCUCGGUUCUAUUUUGUUGGUUUCUAGAGCUGAGGUAAUGAUUAAUAGGGAUAGUUGGGGGCAUUCGUAUUUAACUGUCAGAGGUGAAAUUCUUGGAUUUGUUGAAGACGGACUACUGCGAAAGCAUUUGCCAAGGAUGUUUUCAUUGA